UACAGGGGGGGCAAGCGUUGUUCGGAAUUACUGGGCGGAAAGGGCUCGUAGGCGGCCAACUAAGUCCGACGUGAAAUCCCAAAGCUUAACUUUGGAACUGCGUCGGAUACUGGAUGGCUUGAAUUCGGGAGAGGGAUGCAGAAUUCCAGGUGUAGCGGUGAAAUGCGUAGAUAUCUGGAGGAAUACCGGUGGCGAAGGCGGCAUCCUGGACCGACAUUGACGCUGAUGAGCGAAAGCUAGGGGAGCAAACGGG
rnacentral:rRNA from 1 species